AUGGACUACAAUCCUGUGGUCUCCGCCCUCGCCGCUCGUGUGGAGCCGAUCACCGUACAAGAGCUGUAUAGUCAGCUCCUAAGCUUCGACGCCCGCCUCAGCCUCCUUCACGGCGCCAACAUCUGGCAGUCGUCUGCCAACUCCGUCUCUCGUGGCCGCGGCCAUGGGCGCGGUCACCAGGGGCAACGCAGCGGCGGCCGCGGGCGCAGCAACGCCGACUACUCCAACAACGACAGUGCUGGCUACACCAACACCGGUGGUAGCGGCGGCAGCAACUACAACAACAGGGCCGGGGGUGGUGGCUUCCACAACAACAACAGCCGCCGCCCUCCUCCCUCUUCUUCCCAAGCACGUCCUCGUUGCCAACACUGCAAGAAGCCGGGCCAUGAGGUAAUGGACUGCUGGCAUCGCUAUGACGAGAACUUCGUCCUUGAUGCUAAGCAUGUUGCUGCGGCCAUGCGUGAGCAAGGAGGAGAAGGGGUGUGGUACGUGGAUUCUGGUGCCACGGAUCACGUCACAAGCGAGCUAGAACAACUUGCUCUUCGUGAACAGUACCAUGGCGGCGAUCAAAUUCACACCGCAAGCGGUGGAGGAUCGGGCAACGAGGGAACUCCUUCAUCAUGGUAG
rnacentral:rRNA from 1 species